rnacentral:lncRNA from 1 species
UUACAACAGUUAAUCUCCACGCCAGAUUCCAACAUUGAAAAGGCGAGUGAAAUAAGAGGAGACAUAGCCGGGGAGAUGAGAUUGGACAUAGGAAGGACAGGGGGGACGGACACAAAGAGGCCCGCAACAUAUAGUGCUACUAAUGGGAGACAGGCUAAACAACAUACAUUAGGGUGUUUAUACACCAAUGCGAGAAGCCUAGGUAAUAAAAUGGAGGAAUUGGAGCUCUUGGUCCGAGAAUUGAAACCAGAUGUCGUAGGAAUAACUGAAAAGUGGUGGAAUGACAGUCACGACUGGAACACAGGUAUGGAGGGGUAUGCGCUGUUUAGGAAAGACCGGGAGAAAGGUAAAGGUGGGGGGGUGGCAUUGUAUGUCAAUAGUGAAAUAAGCUGUAAAGAAAUAAUAGUGGAUGGAAUAGAUAAUACGGAGUCCAUCUGGGCAAUACUUACACUGGGUAAAAGGACCACUAGAGCCUCUCCGGGGAUAGUGCUUGGGGUGUGCUAUAGACCGCCGGGAUCGUCCCAGGAUAUGGAUAAGGAACUAUUUAAUGUAUUUAGGGAAGUAAAUACUAAUAGAAACUGUGUAAUUAUGGGGGACUUUAACUUCCCGGAUAUAGAUUGGGGAACAAACGCUAGUAGCAAUAAUAGGGCUCAGAUGUUCCUAGAUGUGCUUGCUGAUCAAUUCCUUCAUCAAGUGGUAGCUGAACCGACGAGGGGGGAGGCCAUUUUAGAUUUGAUUCUGGUAAGUAGUGAGGGCCUCGUUGAGGAAGUGGUAGUAGGGGACAAUUUGGGCUCCAGUGAUCAUGAGCUAAUUCGGUUUAAAAUACAUGGAAGGAGUAACAGAAUUAAGUCAAAGACUAGGGUUUAUAAUUUUAAAAAGGCCAAUUUUAACAAAUUAAGGGGACUGGUAAGGGAAGUGGAUUGGGCAAACGUAUUAAUGGAUCUAAAGGCAGAAGAAGCCUGGGAUUACUUCAAGUUAAAGAUGCAUGAGCUGUCGGAGGCCUGUAUUCCAAAAAAGGGAAAAAGAUUACUAAGCAAGAGAUUUAGACCAAGCUGGAUGAGUGACCGACUGGGAAAAAACAGAAAGCGUACAAAGAGUGAAAGAGGGGAGGGAUCAGUAAGGAAAUGUACCUAAGUGAAGUCAGGCCGUGUAGAGUUGGACCUAGCGAGGGGAAUUAAAAGCAAUAGUAAGAGGUUUUACAGCCACAUAAAUAGGAAAAUACCACUCCCCGUCGGACUGGGACCACUGAAGCCUAUCGCCCGAGAGGANNNNNNNNNNN